GUGAAAUCGUCUCAGUUUAAAUGAGUAUGAAGCUGCUACCGUACUAGCUAGUAAACGUAAACAUUAGAAAAUAAUAAUAAAUGUGUCACAAUCUCUGUUUUAAUCAACUUCCCUGUGAGGUGACAUGAAACGCUCCCUCUGGCACGAUAAUCUCAAUAAUAUCCUGUAGUGUGUGAUGGGCAAUGAUUUUCAAAUGUUAUAUUGUGAGCAUGUUUAAGAUUUGAGAGAAUAUCUGUCAAGAGUCUCUGUAUGUGUGUGCUGCAACUAGAUUUCAUAACCGGCCAGGUUUUUUUUAAUCUUGUAGUGUGAGCCCGGCUUUACCAAACUGAACCUUUUAUAAUACAUUUCAGCAAAUUUUCCAGCUGAAGCUGUAACGUCCACAACUAAAACCAAAGCUGAUGUUUUGCUUAAUACACAACAGAAGAAGAAACAUACUGUUACUGAAGAGAAUGAAAAUGUUUAUCACGUGUACUGCAUCAUCCCAGACAAACCAGUAAGAGCUGUUGCUGAAGAUCACAUCUAGAGUUUGGCUACCUUUACUCAAUACUUUGUUCAUUAUCUUCUUCAUUUAUUAUUUAUUAACCUGACAUUAUUUGUUAAAUGUUUAAAUGAUAAACAUUCGUGAAGGU